GAGUUUGAUCCUGGCUCAGGAUGAACGCUGGCGGUAUGCCUAACACAUGCAAGUCGUACGAGAGUUUUUAACUCUAGUGGCGGACGGGUGAGUAACACGUGAGAAUUUGCCUUUAGGAGGGGGAUAACAAUUGGAAACGAAUGCUAAUACCCCAUAUGCUUUCGAGUAAAAUGGAUUUUAUCUGCCUAAAGAGAAGCUCGCGGCUGAUUAGCUUGUUGGUAAGGUAAGAGCUUACCAAGGCGACGAUCAGUAUCUGGUUUGAGAGGACGAUCAGACACACUGGAACUGAGACACGGUCCAGACUCCUACGGGAGGCAGCAGUGGGGAAUUUUCCGCAAUGGGCGAAAGCCUGACGGAGCAAUACCGCGUGAGGGAAGAAUGCCUAUGGGUUGUAAACCUCUUUUUUCAGGGAGGAAUAAAAUGACGUGUACCUGAAGAAUAAGCAUCGGCUAACUCCGUGCCAGCAGCCGCGGUAAGACGGAGGAUGCAAGUGUUAUCCGGAAUCACUGGGCGUAAAGCGUCUGUAGGUGGUUUAAUAAGUCAACUGUUAAAUCUUGAGGCUCAACUUCAAAAUCGCAGUCGAAACUAUUAGACUAGAGUAUAGUAGAGGUAAAGGGAAUUUCCAGUGGAGCGGUGAAAUGCGUAGAGAUUGGAAAGAACACCGAUGGCGAAAGCACUUUACUGGGCUAUUACUAACACUCAGAGACGAAAGCUAGGGUAGCAAAUGGGAUUAGAUACCCCAGUAGUCCUAGCUGUAAACAAUGGAUACUAGAUGUUGAACAGAUCGACCUGUGCAGUAUCAAAGCUAACGCGUUAAGUAUCCCGCCUGGGAAGUAUGCUCGCAAGAGUGAAACUCAGAGGAAUUUGACGGGGGCCCGCACAAGCGGUGGGAGCAUGUGGUUUAAUUUCGAUGCAACGCGAAGAACCUUACCAGGGUUUU
rnacentral:rRNA from 1 species